AGCAGUCGCCGCGGUAAUACGAGGGGAGCUAGCGUUGUUCGGAAUUACUGGGCGUAAAGCGCGCGUAGGCGGCUUUUUGAGUCAGAGGUGAAAGCCCGGGGCUCAACCCCGGAAUUGCCUUUGAAACUGGAAAGCUAGAAUCUUGGAGAGGUCAGUGGAAUUCCGAGUGUAGAGGUGAAAUUCGUAGAUAUUCGGAAGAACACCAGUGGCGAAGGCGACUGACUGGACAAGUAUUGACGCUGAGGUGCGAAAGCGUGGGGAGCAAACAGGAUUAGAUACCCGCGUAGUCCCUGUCUCUUAUAC
rnacentral:rRNA from 1 species